rnacentral:lncRNA from 1 species
UUUUUUUUCGUGCGUCACCGUACUAACUUCGUCUUCCAUUUUAUGUAGGAUGCUAAUUCAAACGUGCCGAUGAGAGGCGUACCUCCAUAUUGGCUUCAUGGAUCCAUCCGUAGUUAACCAAAAACAGAUACAUGAUGCGCCGGACAAAACCUUGGUGGAAGUAUACAAUUUCCUAAGACAAACAAAAAUUCAAGGAUUUCAUACUACUUCCAUACAACUUCAAGUAAGUGUGUGCAUACCGUAUACUUUUGUUUUCUUUUUCCUUACCUGAUUAAUGUUAGUUAGAUCUAAUAUAUAUGAACAUUUACGUACGCAGCUUCCAUUGGAUCCUCAUUAUAAUUGAGCCUAAAAGAAGCCACGUCACUGUCUUCGAUUCGUUGAGGAAAGAUCCGGUGGAGUACCAAGACAUGCUAGGCUUGUAAUAAUUCUGGACCUUUAUCUCUAUGCAAAAAAUUUGUUUCCUAAAUUUUCACCUAAUGCUAUAUCAUCCAUUAUUUUAAUCCGCAGCGCAUGCAGACAAUUCAUCAGGAUACACAAAGGUCCAUUCAAAGAAAAACUUACAUGGAACACAGACAUCCCAGUACGUAUGAAGUUUGCACAUUUUAUACAUUCUAUAACACGAAUAUUUCAUAACUUAUUUUUUUUCCCAUUGAAGUGCUUAAGACAGGAACCCGGGAAUAAUCUAUAUGGUUACUAGAUCUGCGAGCACAUGCACAGUUUUGUGGGAUCUAAGGGAAAGACGCCGUCGCACAACUAUAAAGUACGUAAAAUAAAACUAGAAAUAGUUAAUUAUUUUCUACCUCCUUAUAUUUAAAGUAUGUAAAAUAAAACUAUAAAUAGUUAAUUAUUUUCUACCUUGACCGGAAGAUUGUAGGUAGUUUGAUUUGUAUAAUACGCUAAGAUUUGUAUAGUAUGCUAAGAAUUGUAUAUAUAAUAAUUAUAUAAAUACUAGUUAUAUUCGUUUAAAUACUAGUUUGAUUUCAUUAUAAAAAAAGUCCCAACUACUAAAGGUUAACUAAAGGGGUACGUAUGUGAUGCAUGAAAUUACAGGUGCCAUGCAGGUGCCUACAUGGCGUGCACCUGAAAUUUCAAGCAGGACUUUAGUCUCGGUUGGAAACCCAAGUGGGACUAAAGGGGGCCCCCUUUACUCCCGGUUGGUAGCGGGACAGGGCCCUUUAAGUUUUACCAACCAGGACUAAAGGGGGGCUUUACUCCCAGUUGAAAGAUCCGGGACUAAAGACCCCCCUAUUAUCUCGAUUGGUUUAUCCCGGAUGGAUUUUCGGGAGAUUUGCUCCCUACCAACCGGAACUAAAGGCUAGUUUUCUACCGGUGUAGUAGGAGCAGUAGAACUAGGAGGGUGAUCAUCGGUACCUGAGUCCACAUACAUAUGGAGCUGCACAUCCUGAAAAGAUGAUGGUGAAUUUCCUGUUGCAUCUUGCAUGUCUCCAUGACUAGAAUUGUUACUAUUAUCAUGAUUUCUUUCCUCCCCCUCCCUAGAAAUACUGCUAUCAAAAGAAGAAACACCUGGAGCAGGCACAAGAAUUGAGCCUAUAAGAAUACCUCCACUAAAAUUCUCCCUCUCUUGUCCUACUACAGGUGGGGAUAGGGCAAUCCUUAUGUCAUUGGUGGAUCCAAAAUAAUAAGGUUCAUGCUCACGAAUUGUCACAUCCAUACUAAUAAAAAAACGAUGUUUGGAGGGACACCAACACCUGUACCCCUUUUGAGAAGGAGAGUAGCCCAUAAAAACACAUUUGAUGGCACGAGGGUCUAACUUUCCAACAGAAUUUCGAUAGUCAUGCACAAAGCAAACACAACCAAAAACCUUUGGAGGAACCACAAAAUCAUUUUGCUUCAAAAGACACUCUGCAGGAGUCUUAAAAUCAAGUGCACGAAGCGACAUACGAUUUAUCAAAUAUGUUGCUGUUUUUAUUGCCUCCCCCCAAAAAAACUUCGGGACAUUCAUGGUAAACAUGAGGGUACGAACAACUUCAAGAAAAUGUCUAUUCUUAUGUUCUGCCACACCAUUUUGUUCUGGUAUAUUAACACAUGUGGUUUGAUGUUCAAUGCCAUGAGAGGCAAGGAACUAUCCAAACUCCAUGUUAAUAUAUUCAGGGCCAUUGUCAGAACGUAAAGUUCUGAUAGUUGUUCCAAACAGGUUUCAAUGAGAGCACACAAACAGAGAGCAUAUCACUUUUACGCUUCAAUAGAUAGAGCCAAGUGUAACAACUAAAAUCAUCAAUAAAAGUCACAAACCACCUAUGUCCCGAAACAAAACAAACCUCACAGGUCCCCAGACAUCAGAAUGUACCACUUCAAAAGGUUUGUGACUUCGCAAACACCUACUAGGAUAGGUUCCCCUUGUAUGUUUAGCUAACUCACAUGCAUCACAUACAAGGGAUUCCUUAGGACAUAAUUGGAAAAGAGAGGGAUAAAUACGAGACAUGCAUCACAUACAAGGGAUUCCUUAGGAAAGAUGACCCAGCCUUCGGUGAUGGAGUAACAAUUCUUGACUAGGAGACAUGCAGGUUGCAAGAGCAAUUUCAUCACCCCCUUCAUCAAGGUAGUAGAGUCCAUCAUGCAUGGUCCCAACCCCGAGGAGUCUCCCUGUUCCAAGCUCCUGAAAAGCACAACAAGUAGGAUCAAACCAACAUCUACAAUUUAGGCUUUUAGUGAUGGAGCUAAUCGAUAAAAGAUUGACAGGAAAUUUAGGAACAUGUAGAACCGGAGAUAAGGACAAUAUCUUAUUACACUGGACAGUUCCACGUCCUGUAGUAGGUGCCAUGGCAUCAGCAACAUGAACUUUGUCUUUACCUGACGUAGGUGUGUAGGAAGUAAAUAAUUUUGAGGCUCCUGUCGUAUGGUUUGUGGCUCCAGUAUCAAUUAUCUAUGAUUUAAUAGGUUGGUAUUGACAAGAUUUCCUACCUUGAGAGGUGGUAUUAUAACCAAAAUCAACUUUGGAGGAACUAUAGGAGAACGGCGAGCCUUUGAAGAGUUUGAGCUUGGAUUUAAACCCCUCAAGAGCUUGCAUAUCUACCACUGGCAGCUCCCUUGUAGAUGCCGUGUGAUUAGCUUGUCAUUUAUUUGAACCUCGUGCUCCCCCUGGCUGAGAUCACCCUUUCUCCCACCAAGGUGGGUAGCCAAUCAGCUCAAAACACAUGAUCUCUGUGUGUCUUUUCUUCUUGCAGUGACUCAAAUCACAUGACGAGCCCCAAGAAUGUCGGCAAUACAGGCAACAACCACAAAAUCAAUAAAACGAGUUGAGAUCACUCCGGAUUAACCCGCCCUGAUACCAUCUUGAAGAUUAAUCGGUGGUAUUUGGUUUUGGGUUCUUGAAGGAAGCCAUAGAGAUGGGGAAUCUCUGGGGCCUUCUCACGAUCCCCUUCUCUGCUGUUUCUUUUUGUUUCUAUACACUUAACAGCUUGGUCCCUAGAGACCUUUAUAAUUACAUUAUACACCAACACCUCUCUUUUGGACGCAUUCUUUCCCAAUGUACUGGAUUGAUGAAAUGCAAAUUAUUUCUACACACUGUAUGAAUAAUAUAUCCAAUUUUGGGCUGUACUAAGAUGAACAGAGAGUGUCUUCUGGCCAAGAGCAAAAGCGAUGAUCUCUACUAGGUUCGUGUAGAAACAAAAUGCAUAUUGGGCUUGAUAGUUCUGGACUUCUGGUUACAUAUACACCAUUUAUGCUCAGCAAAUCCAACAAAGUUCACUAUGUACCAAUUGCAGCCAAACAGGAAGAAUUUCAAUCUGCAAGAUGUGGCGUGCUUUUGUCCAUGCCACCUGCGGGCUGCGGCAAGCUAGCAAAUGGGGGAAAGAGUACUAUGACUGCAAGAGCACCAUCAUCCUUAUGCUUCAUACAGGAAGGAUGUCCAAAAUGAAUUCCUAAUUGACAGAUCAGCUGAUGACAGUGAAGUGCUACAUUCUUGUACUCGCGAGUUUGCACAAAUGCCUAAAGCUCAAAUCGAUUUCCUAUAUACAUUGAAGCUGCAUAUACGUGUAAAACGAGCCAGAACUAGCACCCACAUCCCGCAGCUCAGCACUCCUUGUCAGCGGUACCACUGCCAUGCAGCAUCGAGGUGAAGAACUCCUGCAACACUUCCGCAGAGGAGUCACCAUCCUUGCUCCGCGACCUUCCUAUCAGCUCCUGAAUCUCCUUCGCGCACCGCCGCAUCUCGGCCCCCUUGGAGGUGUCUCCCAGCACCGUCUCCACGGCCUGCGCCAGCCGCGCGCGCUCAACCGCCGGCGAGCUGUCCCCGUGCCCCCUCGCCACCUCCACGCAGGCGCCCCACUCCUGCUCCAGCAUCUUGCAGUUGAAGAACUGGUCCCCCUGAAGCGGCCACCCGAGGACGGGCACGCCGUGCGCCACGCUCUCCAGCACCGAGUUCCACCCGCAGUGGCUCAGGAACGCGCUCGUCGACGCGUGCGCCAGGAUGCUCAGCUGCGGCGCCCACCCGUGCACCAGGAGGCCCGUGUCGUUGGCGCUCAUCCUCUCCUCGAAUCCUUCCGGCAGCCACUUGUCGGAUGUGACCGUGCCCGUGUUGCCGUUGGUGUCGUCGAGCACUAUGGGCGGUCUGAUGGUCCAGACGAAUGGCCGGCCCGUGAGCUCUAGCGCCGCGGCCAGUUCCAUCAUUUGCUCUGGGCGUAAGCUGUUCUGGGACCCGAACGAGAUGUACAACACUGAAGACUUGUUACGGGCGUCCAGCCACCGUACGAUGCUGUCGCUGUCGGGCUCCCGGUGGCUGGUGUGCUGUAUCGGGACGCGUACGAGCGGGCCGAUGGGCAGGACUGGCACGCCCAUUGUUCGCCGGAGCAUGCGCAGCCCGGCAGGCUCGAACUCCUCCCACUAGUAGAGAAUUGGCUUUCCAUACGUCCCCUUUUAUCCCGGUUUAAAGUUGGUCCGGGACAAAAGGUUCACCAACCGGGACUAAAACUUGGUCACUGGUGGGGGGCUUACCAACCGGGACCUUUUAUCCCGGUUGCAAAGGCUAGUGGGAAAAAAAGACUCUGAGAGGCCUUUUAUCCCGGUUUGAAACACCAACCGGGAUAAAAGACCCCCCCCUUUUAUCCCGGUUGGUAACACCAACCGAGAUAAAAGGGUCAAGAGCCUUUUAUCCCGGUUUGUAAUACUAACCGGGAUAAAAGGGGGUCAUUUAUCCCGGUUGGUGUUUCAAACCGGGAUAAAAGGGUCCCCAACGAGGUGACUGGAAGGUGGCUGGAAGGGGAUUAAAUCCUCGAACCCUUUUAUCCCGGUUGGAAACACCAACCGGGAUAAAAGGGGGUCUUUUAUCCCGGUUGGUGUUUCCAACCGGGAUAAAAGGGUCCCCCACGAGUUAAUACAAAAGGAUAGCAUCCCCUACAUAGUCAGAUGUGGUGUGUAGGUGGGAUGGUAAGGAAGCUACGCGCGAGGCUGGAGGUUGUGGGUUCGAAUCCCACGAACCGCGCACGCGCAUAUUUCACGUGAAAAAUCGCGUGACUUGCGACUUGCGCGUGUGGGGGGGUAAAAGACCCCCUUUUGUCCCAGUUGAGUGACCCGGGAUAAAAGACCCCCUUUUGUCCCGGUUGGUUUAGCGCAUAUUUCACGUGAAAAAUCGCGUGACUUGCGACUUGCGCGUGUGGGGGGGUAAAAGACCCCCUUUUGUCCCAGUUGAGUGACCCGGGAUAAAAGACCCCCUUUUGUCCCGGUUGGUUUAUCCCGGAUGCAUUUUCGAGAUAUUUGCACCCUACCAACCGGGACUAAAGCCCAAUUCUCUACCAGUGUCCGUGGUGUUGACGAGGAGGGCGUCCGUGCCGUACCCGAGCAAUAUCUGCUGGCGAUAGAAGACCGACCACGGGUCCGUGCCGUCGGCGAGGAGCAGGUGCCUCGGCAGCUGUGAGCCGUAGACGUUGACCUCCGGGUGGUCCGGCAGAACAAAUGCGUCGGCGCCGGGCCCGCGCAGGUGCGGCAGGUGUUUCCAGAGAGAAUGGAACACCGCGCUGCCCACCGCAACGCAGGAGACGAAGAAUGCGUGCCUGGCGCCGAGCCGGCGCGCCACGGCGGUGGUCCACGCCAGGAAGGGGUCGGCGACGACGACGCAGGCGGCCGGCGCGCGCCGCCGUCCUCUGUGCCGGCGAGAACGCCGUUCAUGAAGGCGUCGAAGGCGGCUUGGAGCGAGGGCGACCCGGUUGACUGGAAGAGCUUGAGGAAGUAGCGGACGUGGAUGGCGUCGGCGGAGUCGGCCCCGGCGGGCAGGCCGUGCUCCUCCGGCGAGAAGGGCAGCGCGUGGAACCGGAGGAACGGCACGGCCGCCGCGGAGGCGCUGGUCCGGAGGGCGGCCACUUUGCCCGGGGUGGAGACGAGAGUGAUGACCACCGAGGGCCGCGCGGCAUGGAGGCGUCCGGCGAGGGUGAGGAAGGCAGCAAAGUGGCCCUGCGCCGGGAACGGGGCGAGGAUGACGUGCAUGCUUUCGUCGCCGGGCAUGGUAGUGGGCAUUCGCUCUGAGGGAAACAACAACCAAGUUCCAACGUCCUCGUUCUGCUCCUCUUUUUUGACCAUAUGAAAGGGUAGGCGGCGUAGAAAUCAAGGGUUUGUUGACUUCUCAGGUCGUCGAUUUCGAGUGCUUACGGUUGGAUUUAGCUGCCUGGUGCUAGUUGCCUGAUCAAGGGUGCUAGCGAGCACCUGAGACUCACGAGUUUGGGUAAAAAUUAGGUGGAGAUAGGAUGCAAACCGCGGCUCGUGCGUCGUAGAGCCGUACCAACCCUCCGUAUUGGUUUUUAUGGUACUAGCAGAAAUGCCCGUGCGUUGCUACGGAUCCUUACUUGCUCUCAUGUUAUUAUUCGUUUAUUUCUAAUAUGCUGGCUUCGCUUCACAAUUUGUUGGUGCGGUAUCCCUAGUAGUUCUCUCUUUGCAAGUAUAGUAGUAGAAAACAUUAAUGGAUGGUUUGAUGCCAUCUGUUUAUUACGUGGAAACCACACAUGGAAAUAAAAAAUUCCCCGCUUAAUCUCCGCUCUAUCCAUUCAUUUGUCCUCACCGUUGCCUAGGCAAGCAUUUAUCCUCCACGUGCCUAGCCUCAUUCCCGCUUCAAGCGAUAGGCCAUAGCGCCUCUGACCGCCAUGAACAGGAGUACGUUCUCCUCUUCUCAUUUCCAUCCACUUCCCUUUUAUAAUCCACUCCAAAUCGUUCCAAUCAAUUACAAUAUCGAGCAGAUGUGGAGACCUUAGUUCCGAAUCCGAAGGGGAUCGACGUCAUUGAGGCGGGUGUUCCCAACCAGAUGGUGUGGUGGCCAAGGUGCUGAGGUCACCGACAAAGACGAUGAUGCGGAAGUGGUGCUUCCCGUUAGCAGUGAAGUGGCCACCUCACGCGAGCGCAGCUCCGGAGGGUUGACUACGGCGGAUCCGUUGGGCAACGGUGCACGAAAACAACCUAAAGGAGCUAGAUAUUUUUCUAUUUGCCUGACACUUCAUCAAGAAGACUCUACACUUCAGUUUCUACACUUACAAGCAUAUACAAAAGGAGCUACUGUUGAGAUCAUGAAAGCAUUCUUUAAAUAGCCAAGUUCUUUCGGUACCAAAAGAUCACAUAACCAUAGUUCAGAGUACUAAUAUAGGUGACAUGCUAUUACUAUUAGUCAACAGUCACCUUCCACUUCCUGAUGAUGGCAAUUGCACUUCUAGAUCCAAUGGUAUAAACCCCUGUCCAGAGCCACCAGAGCUCGAACCAGACCUCCGACUUAACCCUGGUGAAGGAUUUAUGUCAUCAACUGUCUAUAAGCACGCACAACUUAAACUUAUUCAUUUCUCAACUCACCAGGACUUCCAGGAGUAAAGUUCGGCAAAAACCAGGAUCUCUCUCCUUUGCUUUUCUUUGGGGAAAAAAGAUAAAAACAUCCCAGGAAGGUUCACAAUGUGAUGUUGCAUAAUGCAACCUGAGGCUAAAUUAUGAAGGUAAUAUCACCAUUACACCCUCUAUGCCAUUUCCCAGGAAUGCCCUGGCAAGUACACUGUCAUUUUGCAUUAAUAAGGGGGCAAAGAAUAACCAUCCAGCAUCCAGGGACAUAGUUAAUGAGCAGUUGAGCACCCAGAAAUGAGCCCAAAAUUAAUCCGCUAUGCAGGAAUGAACAUGGAGAUCUUAAUCUUUAUGCGAGUGUGCCAGGUAUUGGCUUGUGUACUUGUCCACCUUAGGCCCAGAAGAACCAUAUUUGUUAUCAUAGUACUCCACACAUGCAGAACCAACCAAUGCAGCAAGGGUUAGAGCCUGCGCAUGCAACCUGCAAAAGUCAACAGUUUAUGAGAUGUUAGGAUUGUGAGUUUUCAAAUAAUAGCAUGAUAGAAUUGAAUAAAAGUGAAGUCGUCUGGAAUCUGUGUGUAUUUAAACAGCUGCAAUUUCUAUAUUCAGUAAUACAUGCAGUGGCUACAGUCUACGUGCAACAAAGGUUGCCAAUCUAAGCAAUUGUUAUGAAAUCGUCAUGCACACAAUCUAAGGUCGCCAAUCUAAGAUCAAAUUGUCAUGCACACUAUCUUUUUAAAACCACAGAACCCGUUAUGAAAUGAGCACUAUGAGAAGUAACAUCAGCGAAGCAGGUGCAAUGGAGUACAACAUGU